UACAGAGGGUGCGAGCGUUGUUCGGAAUUACUGGGCGUAAAGGGCGCGUAGGCGGCCACCGCAAGUCGACUGUGAAAUCUCCGGGCUUAACCCGGAAAGGUCAGCCGAUACUGCGGGGCUAGAGUGCAGAAGGGGCAACUGGAAUUCUCGGUGUAGCGGUGAAAUGCGUAGAUAUCGAGAGGAACACCUGCGGCGAAGGCGGGUUGCUGGGCUGACACGUGACGCUGAGGCGCGAAAGCUAGGGGAGCGAACGGG
rnacentral:rRNA from 1 species